CAUUUGGGACAGCGGUAAUCAGGCAGCUCGUCUUGAUCAUCAUCUCUUCUGCGUGCAGAUGGAAGUUGUGCUGGGUUGAACAUGGCUGCUCCUGCGAAAGGUGCUUCAAAAGCAGAAAUUUCCAAAACAUGUUAAGGUGUUUUACCAGUUGGAGGAGGCGGGUGUGGACGAGGCCUGUAAUCCUCCAAGUGUCUCUGUUGCAUCUCCUCAAUGCGAGCUCUGUGAGGAAACCACAUUCCCACAUGUAACACUUGGACAUCUGGAGCUCUCUCUCUAAAAUCUGCAGGCGUUCGGUCUUCUUGCCCAACCUGAGGGAUCAAACAGCCAGUUUUGUCGUUCAUUCAACUCUCCGAGUAGGGACGUGACCUGAGCUCUCAGAGCUUCACUAUCCUUUGUCAGCUACAAACACAAAGAUGGUGAUUACUCAUCCAAAGCUACUGCGAAUACUGCCACAGCUCAGCAUAGAGAGAGAAGGGGCAUUCACCUACUGAAUCACAGGUUGCA